UACGGGGGGGGCAAGCGUUGUUCGGAAUUACUGGGCGUAAAGGGCUCGUAGGUGGCCAACUAAGUCAGACGUGAAAUCCCUCGGCUUAACCGGGGAACUGCGUCUGAUACUGGAUGGCUUGAGUUUGGGAGAGGGACGCGGAAUUCCACGUGUAGCAGUGAAAUGCGUAGAGAUGUGGAGGAACACCGAUGGCGAAGGCAGCCCCCUGGGCUGAGAUUGACGCUCAGGCACGAAAGCGUGGGGAGCAAACAGG
rnacentral:rRNA from 1 species